GACCUCGAUCGCCAAUCGCAAAUUGCCGUAGGCGGGCGGCGAGGUUGACCCGCGUGCGCCGCGCCCGCCUCCCCGCCCCUAGCCGGACCCCUUCCCAAGGCCCCACCCCACCCGCGAGACGCACCCGCGGCCCCACCGCUGCGGGGGCGGGGGCCCGGGAACUCGGGAACGACGGACCCGGGCAGCUUGGCCUGACCUAGACCUCGCCGCGCGGGCCCCACUGGCGCAGGCCCGGGCCGCGAGCCCCUCCCUCCACCUCUCCCCGCCCCCAGCGCCCAGCGCGGGCUGCACUAGGUGGCGUCGGCGGGGCCCCGCAGAUGGCCAUGGCGGCAGGCGCCGGGGCUAAGCCCGCGCCGCGCUGGCUGAGGGCGCUGGGCGAGCCGCUGAGCGCCGCGCAGCUGCGGCGGCUGGAGGAGCACCGCUACAGCGCGGCAGGCGUCUCGCUGCUCGAGCCGCCGCUGCAGCUCUACUGGACCUGGCUGCUCCAGUGGAUCCCGCUCUGGAUGGCCCCCAACUCCAUCACCCUGCUCGGGCUCGCCGUCAACAUGCUCACCACGCUCGUGCUCAUCUCCUACUGCCCCACCGCCACCGAGGAGGCACCAUACUGGGCAUACCUUUUAUGUGCGCUGGGACUUUUUAUCUACCAGUCACUGGAUGCUAUUGAUGGAAAACAAGCCAGAAGAACAAAUUCUUGUUCUCCUUUAGGGGAACUCUUUGACCAUGGUUGUGACUCUCUUUCCACAGUAUUUAUGGCAGUGGGAGCUUCAAUUGCCGCUCGCUUAGGAACUCAUCCUGACUGGUUGUUUUUCUGCUCUUUUAUUGGGAUGUUUGUGUUUUAUUGUGCUCAUUGGCAGACUUAUGUUUCAGGCGUGUUGAGAUUUGGAAAAGUGGAUGUAACUGAAAUUCAGAUAGCUUUAGUGAUUGUCUUUGUAUUGUCUGCAUUUGGAGGAGCAACAAUGUGGGACUAUACGAUUCCCAUUCUAGAAAUAAAAUUGAAGAUCCUUCCAGUUCUUGGCGUACUAGGUGGAGUAAUAUUUUCCUGUUCAAAUUAUUUCCAUGUUAUCCUCCAUGGUGGUGUUGGCAAGAAUGGAUCCACUAUAGCAGGCACCAGUGUCUUGUCACCCGGACUCCACAUAGGACUAAUUAUUAUACUGGCAAUAAUGAUCUAUAAAAAGUCAGCAACUGAUGUGUUUGAAAAACAUCCUUGUCUUUAUACCCUAAUGUUUGGAUGUGUUUUUGCUAAAGUCUCACAAAAAUUAGUGAUAGCUCACAUGACCAAAAGUGAACUGCAUCUUCAAGACACUGUCUUUUUGGGGCCAGGUCUUUUGUUUUUAGACCAGUACUUCAAUAAUUUUAUAGACGAAUAUGUUGUUCUAUGGAUAGCAAUGGUCAUUUCUUCAUUUGAUAUGGUGAUAUACUUUAGUGCUUUGUGCCUGCAAAUUUCAAGACACCUUCAUCUAAAUAUAUUCAAGACUGCAUGCCAUCAAGCUCCUGAACAGGUUCACAAGCAUACUGACUGACUAAUAGCCCAAGGAAAAGAGGAGAUGAAGUUAGGGGAAUCUAUGUGAAGGAAAUCCCCCCUGUGCAGGAGGUUCAAGUUCUUUCUUCAAAGAGUCAUCAGAAUAACAUGGAUUGAAGAGACUUCCGAACACAUGCUAUCUCUUGCUGCUGCUGUUUCAUGGAAGGAGAUAUUAAACAUUUGUUUAAUUUUUAGUUAACUGUUAUACCUAUUUCAGCAAAUAAAAUAUUUCAUUGCUUAUAUUAA